GACAGAGGUGCCGAGCGUUAGGCGGAAUCACUGGGCUUAAAGCGUGUGUAGGCGGGCGGGCAAGUACCUUGUGAAAUCCCACGGCUCAACCGUGGAACGGCUGGGUAUACUGCCUGUCUUGAGCCAACUAGGGGCGAGCGGAACAGACGGUGGAGCGGUGAAAUGCGUAGAUAUCGUCUGGAACGCCAAAGGUGAAAACAGCUCGCUGGGGUUGUGCUGACGCUGAGACACGAAAGCCAGGGGAGCGAGCGGG
rnacentral:rRNA from 1 species